rnacentral:tRNA from 1 species
GGUAAAAUGGCCGACAAAGGCAGAAAACUGUAGAUUUUCGCAUAGAGGAAAACCUCUUUUUAUCG